UGGGGGAAUAUUGCACAAUGGGCGCAAGCCUGAUGCAGCAACGCCGCGUGAGGGACGACGGCCUUCGGGUUGUAAACCUCUUUUAGUAGGGAAGAAGCGAAAGUGACGGUACCUGCAGAAAAAGCACCGGCUAACUACGUGCCAGCAGCCGCGGUAAUACGUAGGGUGCGAGCGUUGUCCGGAAUUAUUGGGCGUAAAGAGCUCGUAGGCGGUCUGUCGCGUCUGCUGUGAAAACCCGAGGCUCAACCUCGGGCCUGCAGUGGGUACGGGCAGACUAGAGUGCGGUAGGGGAGAAUGGAAUUCCUGGUGUAGCGGUGGAAUGCGCAGAUGAUCAGGAGGAACACCGAUGGCGAAGGCAGUUCUCUGGGCCGUAACUGACGCUGAGGAGCGAAACGCGUGGGGAGCGAACAGGAUUAGAUACCCUGGUAGUCCAGCGCCGUAAACGUUGGGCGCUAGAUGUGGGGACCAUUCCACGGUUUCCGUGUCGCAGCUAACGCAUUAAGCGCCCCGCCUGGGGGCAGUACGGCCGCAAUGGC
rnacentral:rRNA from 1 species